GUAAAGAUGCAUGAUGGCUACGAAGAUUCAGGGGUGAUAUCUGUUGACUGAAAAUCUCAUAGGAUGUGGUUUUUAAGUUCAGUAGUGCUCAAUUCAGCCAUACACAUGUAGGCUAAAGCAACGUCCACUAAUCAUUCACGUCUUUAUGCUUGUUGGAAAUAUGAUUAUGAUAUUCUGGUUUCUCUCAUCCUGAAGGUGUGUUACCACUUGUCAA
rnacentral:misc_RNA from 1 species